AUUGAACGCUAGCGGGAUGCCUUACACAUGCAAGUCGAACGGAGUGGCGAACGGGUGAGUAAUGUAUCGGAACGUGCCCAGUAGCGGGGGAUAACUACGCGAAAGCGUAGCUAAUACCGCAUACUUUUGGAGCGGCCGCUAUCGGUGUAGCUAGUUGGUGGGGUAAUGGGUCACCAAGGCGAGGAUCCGUAGCUGGUCUGAGAGGACGACCGGGCACACUGGGACUGAGACACGGCCCAGACUCCUACGGGAGGCAGCAGUGGGGAAUUUUGGGCAAUGGAGGAAAGCCUGAUCGAGCCAUGCCGCGUGAGCGAUGAAGGGCUUCGGGUUGUAAAGCACUGUUGGCAGGAAAGCGGUACCUGCAGAGUAAGCACCGGCUAACUACGUGCCAGCAGCCGCGGUAAUUC
rnacentral:rRNA from 1 species